UUUAUAAAACCCAUUUAGUCUCACAAUUUUUUUGUGUGGUAAAACAUAAACUGAAACAUUAUGUAUAUCCAAGAUUGAAGAAGAAAUUUAAGUUAAAUUAGAUGGACAUCCAAUACUAGGGGUGAUGUUGUCAAGGUUGUAACCAUAUCAGUAGUCGAUUUUAUAAAUAAAGUGAAAUACAAGACUAACCCAACAGGUAUCAUAAAGUAAUGUAGAACUACUUUUUUCUCUCUCUCGGUACUCUCUAUCAUUCCUCACUUGGCAAAAAAUGAUAGAUUAUCCCUCAUGAUGUGUUUUCCAUGUUUGAAUAUUUUGUUCAUUCAGUGUCAAAUGUUUUCUUUUUGUGUAUCAGAAUAUCUCAGUAACUCAUUGUUUUUUCUUUCCUGUAGGUGGUACAAUAGUUCUAUCCGAUGAUGGUCGCUUUUUUCAAAGUCAAAGGAUGCUGUGGAAUUUCAAGAUUGAAAACCGCUGGCUUUCAAUCUUUUAAAACAAAUUACCUUUGUAAGGUAUCAAAACUAUAAUUUUUCUAUAGCAAAUAAAUUUUUUUCCUUCACUAUGGUAAUUUUGUUUAGAUUAAUUAAUGUUACACUGAUACUAACUCAAAUUUAUACACUGCUAUAAGAUCAAUUUGUAAUCCCGCAGCAACGCGCGGGCAUUACUAGCUAGUUUAUGUGCUAUGGCUAAACUUUGUAUCAUAUAUUUAUUGUCACAUCCUGGCCCGGACUCCCACCAUAUCACGGGCUCGACUCCGCCGUAUAUUGUCUGCUUUGGGUCUCGACCAUGCCCUAUCCGAUGAUGGUCGCUUUUUUCAAAGUCAAAGGAUGCUGUGGAAUUUCAAGAUUGAAAACCGCUGGCUUUCAAUCUUUUAAAACAAAUUACCUUUGUAAGGUAUCAAAACUAUAAUUUUUCUAUAGCAAAUAAAUUUUUUUCCUUCACUAUGGUAAUUUUGUUUAGAUUAAUUAAUGUUACACUGAUACUAACUCAAAUUUAUACACUGCUAUAAGAUCAAUUUGUA
rnacentral:lncRNA from 1 species